rnacentral:rRNA from 1 species
GACGAACGCUGGCGGCGUGCCUAAUACAUGCAAGUAGAACGCUGAAGAGAGGAGCUUGCUCUUCUUGGAUGAGUUGCGAACGGGUGAGUAACGCGUAGGUAACCUGCCUUGUAGCGGGGGAUAACUAUUGGAAACGAUAGCUAAUACCGCAUAACAAUGGCUGACACAUGUCCUUUAUUUGAAAGGGGCAAUUGCUCCACUACAAGAUGGACCUGCGUUGUAUUAGCUAGUAGGUGAGGUAAUGGCUCACCUAGGCGACGAUACAUAGCCGACCUGAGAGGGUGAUCGGCCACACUGGGACUGAGACACGGCCCAGACUCCUACGGGAGGCAGCAGUAGGGAAUCUUCGGCAAUGGGGGCAACCCUGACCGAGCAACGCCGCGUGAGUGAAGAAGGUUUUCGGAUCGUAAAGCUCUGUUGUAAGUCAAGAACGGGUGUGAGAGUGGAAAGUUCACACUGUGACGGUAGCUUACCAGAAAGGGACGGCUAACUACGUG